rnacentral:lncRNA from 1 species
GUUGAACAGAUACUAAAGGAAUCAGUCUUUCCCAGAGCAAAAGUUCCUUUCCCUCAGAGAAAACACUUUCUCUGCCUAGCCAAAGUGCCUAACAGUCCUUCCUCUUUCAUGCAAACACAAAUAACCCCCCUUGCUCAUGUAACCCAUCUCCUCAAAUGCUAACUACCUACCACCUCUUCCAACUAACCAACAUAGGACCCUUCUAAUUCGUUUCACUCUACACUUUCCAAAUUGUGGUCUAGCAUACUAAAUCCUUUCCUAUAUCAGAGCUCAAACUAGCAACUCUAUCAC